rnacentral:rRNA from 1 species
AUAACCCCGGGAAACUGGGGAUAAUUCUGGAUAACGCACAUAUGCUGGAAUGCUUUAUGCGUAAAAUGGAUUCGUCUGCCCAAGGAUGGGUCUGCGGCCUAUCAGGUAGUAGUGGGUGUAAUGUACCUACUAGCCAACAACGGGUACGGGUUGUGAGAGCAAGAGCCCGGAGAUGGAUUCUGAGACAUGAAUCCAGGCCCUACGGGGCGCAGCAGGCGCGAAAACUUUACAAUGCGGGAAACCGUGAUAAGGGGACACCGAGUGCCAGCAUCAUAUGCUGGCUGUCCAGGUGUGUAAACUACACCUGUUAGCAAGGGCCGGGCAAGACCGGUGCCAGCCGCCGCGGUAACACCGGCGGCCCGAGUGGUGAUCGUGAUUAUUGGGUCUAAAGGGUCCGUAGCCGGUUUGGUCAGUCCUCCGGGAAAUCUGAUAGCUCAACUAUUAGGCUUUCGGGGGAUACUGCCAGGCUUGGAACCGGGAGAGGUAAGAGGUACUACAGGGGUAGGAGUGAAAUCUUGUAAUCCCUGUGGGACCACCUGUGGCGAAGGCGUCUUACCAGAACGGGUUCGACGGUGAGGGACGAAAGCUGGGGGCACGAACCGGAUUAGAUACCCGGGUAGUCCCAGCCGUAAACGAUGCUCGCUAGGUGUCAGGCAUGGCGUGACCGUGUCUGGUGCCGCAGGGAAGCCGUGAAGCGAGCCACCUGNGAAGUACGGCCGCAAGGCUGAAACUUAA